GCCGGUGCGUCUUAUAGGGCGAAAAAUACGGUUGCAGGGAUUGCUCUGGAGACUGAAAAGAGAUUUCUUGUAUCGUUCCACAACCCUCCUUUUCAGGUUGUCAUGAAGAGCAGGGGGAAGCUGCAGAACACAUGCAAAAUAUGU